AAAUCCCAUUUUGGAAAACGGAAAUUCAAUUAAAAGCGAUAUCCAAAGAAAUCAGAGCAUAUAAAAAUGCCCGGCUGACUAAUUAAAUGAAAGGAUUUCGAAACAAAAUCUUUGCUAAUUCGACAAGGAUUGUAUUCUUUAAUUAUUUCUCUAUUUUUUAUUACUUAAUUUAAAAAUUUCAAAAAAAUUAUAUUCUAAUGGAUUUUAUUCUUAUUCUUCGGAUUCAAAAUAGAAAAAUAAAAGAAUAAAUAAGUAGAAGAAUUAAGUUAAUUCAAUCCAACCAAAAAGAAAAGGAGGUUCAUGGCCAAGGGGAAAGAUGUUAGAAUCAGAGUUAUUUUGGAAUGCAUCAGUUGUGUUCAAAAAGGUGCCAAUGAGGAAUCGACGGGAAUUUCUAGAUACAGUACUGAAAAGAAUCGCCACAAUACACCCGGACAAUUAGAAUUCAAAUUUUUUUGUCAUUUUGUGAGCAAUGCUUCUGGUUCCGGACUGCUAUAUUGUCGUCCACAUGUUUGUCACAGUGAAUCUCGAGGCAGCUAGGGUCACAGCUUCCACCGGUUGCCCAAAGCUGCCGUCGGCAGAGCUUCUCCUCCGCUGGGUGCCGAUGUCGCCGACCGUGGCUGUUCUACUUUAGCUUAGAUUGUUGGCAAAUCCCCUUCAUGGCACUGCAAGAACAGAAUGGGAACUCAAAGGAGGAAAACGCUACAUGGCUUGGCUGGAUGCUCAGCCGGUGAUCGAGCUCGGUUUUGUAUGUCUCACUAGGCAAACUUCCUCUCGGCGUCCACCCGCCUGCACGAAAUCACCGUAGCGGAGGAGCUCGCGCGCGGCCGAGGUCAGAAUCGAGUGGGUCAGGGAGGCCAGCGGCCAGCCCACUCGCCUUCUCCGUGGAGGCUGCGCCACCGCGGCUCGAUGGUGCUCCUCGGUGACGCGUGCGGGGAAUCGGCUGACAGGAGCUGCUGCAUGUGCACGAGGCUUCGCAGUGACAUGUGCUCGUCGGCGGCGCUGCGUGCCCGCAUCCUGGGCUGGGGGAUGAAGUAGGACAGAUUCGGAAUGAACAGGUGGAACCACAUGCAUUGCUGGCUCACAAAAUACCGUGACACCUCGUUGUCCCGUCCAAGCCAAACAUGUAUUCUGGAGCUAAGGUUUUAAUUGAUCGGGAUUAGAUAGGUUAAGAAAACACAGGAUUAGAAGAUUAUGAUUUGAUUCGGACAAGUUCUACAAGUUCAGGAUUUAAAAUGGACUAUAUUUUGUGACC